rnacentral:lncRNA from 1 species
UUGAAUGACUGAGAGAAGGGGGAGCAACGGCGUGAUUGAAAAAUGGCAGAGGAGAGUUUGUCUUUUAGGAUUUCAAAUGGGUUUUAUUGGCUGCAAUUGAAAUGGGGUUUUAUUUAUGGGUUAUUUAUGCUUUUAAUCCUCUUAUGCUUUUAAUCCUCUCAUGUUUUCAUCAUUUCAAAACCACUGUUUUUGCUAUUUUC